GAUGAACGCUGGCGGCGUGCUUAACACAUGCAAGUCGAACGGCGAAGCAGGAGCUUGCUCCUGUGGAUCAGUGGCGAACGGGUGAGUAACACGUGAGCAAUCUGCCCUGGACUCUGGGAUAAGCGUUGGAAACGACGUCUAAUACCGGACACGAGGCGUGGGGGCCUCCCCAACGCCUGGAAAGAACGUCGGUACAGGAUGAGCUCGCGGCCUAUCAGGUAGUUGGGGAGGUAACGGCUCACCAAGCCUACGACGGGUAGCCGGCCUGAGAGGGUGACCGGCCACACUGUACUGAGACACGGCCCAGACUCCUACGGGAGGCAGCAGUGGGGAAUAUUGCACAAUGGGCGCAAGCCUGAUGCAGCAACGCCGCGUGAGGGACGACGGCCUUCGGGUUGUAAACCUCUUUUAGCAGGGAAGAAGCGAAAGUGACGGUACCUGCAGAAAAAGCACCGGCUAACUACGUGCCAGCAGCCGCCGUAACAC
rnacentral:rRNA from 1 species